rnacentral:rRNA from 1 species
AGUAAAUAGAUACCCAGGUAGUCCACGCCGUAAACGAUGAGUACUAGGUGUAGGAGGUAUCGACUCCUUCUGUGCCGCAGUUAAACACAAUAAGUACUCCGCCUGGGAAGUACGGUCGCAAGAUUAAAACUCAAAGGAAUUGACGGGGGCCCGCACAAGCAGCGGAGCAUGUGGUUUAAUUCGAAGCAACGCGAAGAACCUUACCUAGACUUGACAUCCCCUGAAUAACGUAGAGAUACGCGAAGCCCUUCGGGGCAGGGAGACAGGUGGUGCAUGGUUGUCGUCAGCUCGUGUCGUGAGAUGUUGGGUUAAGUCCCGCAACGAGCGCAACCCUUAUCAUUAGUUGCUACCAUUUAGUUGAGCACUCUAGUGAGACUGCCCGGGUUAACCGGGAGGAAGGCGGGGAUGACGUCAAAUCAUCAUGCCCCUUAUGUCUAGGGCUACACACGUGCUACAAUGGUGAGAACAACGAGAUGCAAUACCGCGAGGUGGAGCAAAACUUCAAAACUCAUCUCAGUUCGGAUUGUAGGCUGAAACUC